GACGAACGCUGGCGGCGUGCUUAACACAUGCAAGUCGAACGCUGAAGCUCAGCUUUUGUUGGGUGGAUGAGUGGCGAACGGGUGAGUAACACGUGAGUAACCUGCCUCCUUCUUUGGGAUAACGCCCGGAAACGGGUGCUAAUACUGGAUAUUCACUGGUCUUCGCAUGGGGGUUGGUGGAAAGGGUUUUUCUGGUGGGGGAUGGGCUCGCGGCCUAUCAGCUUGUUGGUGGGGUGAUGGCCUACCAAGGCUUUGACGGGUAGCCGGCCUGAGAGGGUGACCGGUCACAUUGGGACUGCGAUACGGCCCAGAGUAGUACGGGAGGCAGAAGUGGGGAAUAUUGCACAAUGGGCGCCAGACUGAUGCAGCGAGGGCGAGUGAGGGAUGGAGGCCUUAGGGUUGUGAACCUCUUUAGGUCAUGGUCAAGCCGCAAAAAUGGUUGUGGUGAGGGUAGUGGGUAAAGAAGCGCCGGCUAACUACGUG
rnacentral:rRNA from 1 species